GAUGAACGCUGGCGGCGUGCCUAAUACAUGCAAGUCGAGCGAACGGACGAGAAGCUUGCUCCUCUGAUGUUAGCGGCGGACGGGUGAGUAACACGUGGAUAACCUACCUAUAAGACUGGGAUAACUUCGGGAAACCGUAGCUAAUACCGGAUAAUAUUUUGAACCGCAUGGUUCAAUAGUGAAAGACGGUCUUGCUGUCACUUAUAGAUGGAUCCGCGCUGCAUUAGCUAGUUGGUAAGGUAACGGCUUACCAAGGCAACGAUGCAUAGCCGACCUGAGAGGGUGAUCGGCCACACUGGAACUGAGACACGGUCCAGACUCCUACGGGAGGCAGCAGUAGGGAAUCUUCCGCAAUGGGCGAAAGCCUGACGGAGCAACGCCGCGUGAGUGAUGAAGGUCUUCGGAUCGUAAAACUCUGUUAUUAGGGAAGAACAAAUGUGUAAGUAACUAUGCACGUCUUGACGGUACCUAAUCAGAAAGCCACGGCUAACUACGUG
rnacentral:rRNA from 1 species